AGAGGAAGAAACUUGCCCAAGGUCACAGAGCUGCUACAUGACGGAGCUGGCGUUCCGAUCCAGAGCCUGGGCUCCUAUCAGCUCUUAGGAUCCGAUUUUGCAGGAAAAUGCUUCCACCUUCUGAAAAGGACCCAGAAAACACAACCUGGCAGAGGAUUUCCAACUUCUUUCAACCAGACGAGUCUUUCUGUCAUUGAACCCACAUGCAGAGUGUCUAGGAAAUAUUUGACCAGAACACAGGCCUCUCCAGUCUAUUCCUGGGACCCACCUACGUGGAGGAGAAGAGGAAGCUGCGUUCAGUACUCAAAAUUAAUCCACGGCCAAUCCAGAGGGGCGGAAGUUCGAAGAAAAU